rnacentral:rRNA from 1 species
AUGUACACUUCAUAUAUAUUCAGACAUGCAGUAGAGGUAUUAUCUCUCCGGAGAGCUCCGAACCUGGGUAAUCACCACGUGUUGUUUGGCCAAUCACGUCCCUUGACCUCCAAAGCAGUCUUGCCCUCACCACAAGCCACCUCGUGGCAUCUGUCGUCUCGCGAACCCGCCCGCGAGAUAACCACGACAGUUGGCGCCCACCGUGGGGCAAGCUGCCGCGGAACCGCGGUCCGGGCGGGACCAUUUUCGUCAUCUCCGCCGCGACGUCGCCGCCGUCUCUCCGGUCGCACUCGAGGGCUCAACAUCAACUCACCCCGGGGUGACCAUGCGGAGCGGCGCGUCCUCGUCGUCGGCCUCGCCAUCUUCGUCAUCGUCACCGCAGCGUCGCACCGUCGCUCCAGUAGCGCUUCGAGGCUCUACAUCAACACGCCCCCGGCACGACCGUACGGGGUGGCGCGUCGUCAUCGUUCGCCUUCAGUCUGCGCGCUCGCCGCUCCGGCUCUUGCUCCUCGCCACCUCCGUCCGCACACGUACGCGCUGCUCCGCCUCGCUUCAGUCAGCUGCAUGCCCGCAUCCAUUCAUGCUCUGCUCGCCUCCGCUCCCUUAGGCGGUGCGUCUAGCUCCGGUCAGAAUGUGCGGUCGCUCCUCCAUACACUGAGCUCAAGCUCGUCCACGGCCGGACAAAAGCCAGACAUUUCCCAAGCACGUCCCAGACAAUAG